rnacentral:pre_miRNA from 1 species
AAUAAACCAAUUUUUCACUUUUUACAUUCAAUUUUUGACUCUUCGUCUUAUUUAAAAAAUUUUGUGAUUGAUAUUUCUAUGUUUAUUAGAUGAUAAAUCAUGAAUAGUAUUUUACGUGCACUAAUUUUUUUCUAAUUUCUUAAAAAAAUUUCAAAUAAAACGGAUGAUCAAUCAUUAGACACGAAAACCGAAGAAUCCAUUUUUU